CGUCAUGAAAGUCGGUAACACCCGAAGCCGCUGGCCUAACCCCGUUUGGGGAGGGAGGCGUCGAAGGUGGGAUCGGCGAUUGGGACGAAGUCGUAACAAGGUAGCCGUACCGGAAGGUGCGGCUGGAUCACCUCCUUUCU
rnacentral:rRNA from 1 species